UACGUAGGUGACGAGCGUUGUCCGGAUUUACUGGGCGUAAAGGGCGCGUAGGCGGUCUGACAAGUGGAAGGUGAAAUCCCCGCGCUUAACGUGGGAACUGCCUUCCAAACUGUUUGACUUGAGUCCGGGAGGGGUGAGUGGAAUUCCUAGUGUAGCGGUGAAAUGCGUAGAUAUCAGGAGGAACGCCAAUGGCGAAGGCAAGUCUCUGGACAGUUCCUGACGCUCAUGCACGAAGGCCAGGGGAGCAAACGGG
rnacentral:rRNA from 1 species